CAGGACGAACGCUGGCGGCGUGCCUAAUACAUGCAAGUCGAACGCUUUUGUUUUCACCGGAGCUUGCUCCACCGAAAACAAAAGAGUGGCGGACGGGUGAGUAACACGUGGGUAACCUGCCCUCAAGCGGGGGAUAACACUUGGAAACAGGUGCUAAUACCGCAUAACAAUCAAAGUCGCAUGAUUUUGAUUUGAAAGGCGCUUUUGCGUCACUUGAGGAUGGACCCGCGGUGCAUUAGCUAGUUGGUGAGGUAACGGCUCACCAAGGCCACGAUGCAUAGCCGACCUGAGAGGGUGAUCGGCCACACUGGGACUGAGACACGGCCCAGACUCCUACGGGAGGCAGCAGUAGGGAAUCUUCGGCAAUGGACGAAAGUCUGACCGAGCAACGCCGCGUGAGUGAAGAAGGUUUUCGGAUCGUAAAACUCUGUUGUUAGAGAAGAACAAGGGUGAGAGUAGAAUGUUCACCCCUUGACGGUAUCUAACCAGAAAGCCACGGCUAACUACGUGCCAGCAGCCGCGGUAAUACGUAGGUGGCAAGCGUUGUCCGGAUUUAUUGGGCGUAAAGCGAGCGCAGGCGGUCUCUUAAGUCUGAUGUGAAAGCCCCCGGCUCAACCGGGGAGGGUCAUUGGAAACUGGGAGAC
rnacentral:rRNA from 1 species